CGUAAAUCUUUAGUGGUUUUAGAAGGAAGCUGAAGCUGAAUUUUCUCUGGAUUUAUUUCACAAUCACAAUAGUUACAAAAGGAAGAUUUUUAAAAUAGUGUUGAUUUAUUGUCAGUUUUUUUAACAAAGUAAAUUAUUGAUUAUCAAUGAUUUUAAUGAAUUAGUGAAUUAUACGAGUUGAUAAACAUUUACAUAAAUUAACCCAAGUUUUCUUAACAGCGGACAUUUUUUGUGUUUCUCUUUUUGUCAAAACAACUUUCAUAAUGUGCAAAAUGUAGUUAUUAAUUUUAACUAAUUUAAGAAAUCGAAUAUCAAAAAAGUUAAUAGUGUGUUAAUAAUAAAAGGAGAAAUAUGAUUUUUUGAAACGUCAAGUUUUGCGAGCGCGUAAGCUUCUCGUCUUGUGCGACUCGCCAUAUUGGUUCAAAAGUGUUGGUUCUCAAAGAAUAUUGAGAUACGAAUUUUUUGUAAAUGGACGCACAACAAAAAGAGUCAAGAAUGGAAGAGACAAAGAUCAUAUAUCAUAUUGAUGAUGAAGAGACCCCAUAUUUAGUCAAGUUGAGCAUUGUUCCCGAGAGGGUAACACUGGCUGACUUUAAAGCUAGUUUAAAUCGCCCUAAUUAUAAAUUUUUCUUUAAAUCAAUGGAUGAUGAUUUUGGGGUGGUAAAAGAAGAAAUUGUCGAUGAUGAUGCUCAUCUUCCUUGUUUUAAUGGCCGUGUCGUUUCAUGGUUGGUAUCAGCUGAGGGAAGUAACGUGUCAGAUGGUACAUCGCAGUGCACAGAAUCAGUAGCACAUGGAGAGCAGAAGCAUGAUCAUGUUGAUCAUGUUCAUGGAGCUCCUGGACUUACAACUCGUGGUCCGCUUUCUCUUUCUCACGAUGACACACUAACGGAAACAGAGAGUAUAAUAAGUAGUCGUCAAGGUCAUCAUUUGCAUAAAACUUCGAGGCAUCAUGCAGACAAAUACGAAAAAUACCACAAAUAUAAUGGACUUCGUAUAAAUGGUCAUUCUAAACAUCGCUCUGGUCAUGGUUAUGAAAGUGCAUCAAUUCUCAGUUCUGAUUUAGAAACUUCAACAUUUUUGGAAUCAGACGACGAUGCAAGUAGUCGUAUUACAUCGACAACUGGAGGUCGUCACACCAAUAUGAGUAGUACAAUCGAUAGAACAACCAUAGAUCGUCGCAGACCUCAAAGAAGGCGUCGUCAUAGAUUACCACCAAUGUCAAGAGCAUCAUCAAUCAGUAGUAUUACAGAUAGCACAAUGUCUUUAAAUAUAAUAACAGUUUCUCUUAAUAUGGAUACAGUCAAUUUUCUUGGAAUCAGUAUUGUAGGACAAAGCAAUAAAGGUGGAGAUGGGGGUAUUUACGUUGGCUCAAUAAUGAAAGGUGGAGCAGUUGCCUUAGACGGACGAAUAGAGCCUGGUGACAUGAUUCUUCAAGUGAAUGAUAUUAAUUUUGAAAAUAUGUCCAACGAUGAGGCUGUCAGAGUUUUAAGAGAAGUAGUCCAAAAGCCUGGUCCGAUAAAAUUAGUGGUUGCCAAAUGUUGGGAUCCUAAUCCAAAGGGAUAUUUCACCAUCCCAAGAACUGAACCCGUUCGACCGAUAGAUCCCGGUGCUUGGGUAGCUCACACUGCUGCAAUUAGAGGCGAGGGAUUUCCUCCCCGACCACCAAGUGCAACAACUUUAACUUCCACUUCCAGUAGUCUUGCAAGCACAUUACCAGAUACGGAGCAAGAUAUACAUUUAACGAUAAAUACGGAUAUGCCAACUAUAGUACGAGCAAUGGCACGGCCUGAUUCAGGAUUAGAGAUUCGAGAUCGUAUGUGGUUAAAGAUCACCAUUCCAAAUGCAUUUAUUGGAGCUGAUGUAGUUGAUUGGCUUCACACACAUGUAGAAGGUUUCAUAGAUCGACGCGACGCCAGAAAGUAUGCUUCAUUGAUGCUGAAAGCUGGCUUCAUCAGACACACUGUCAAUAAAAUAACUUUUUCUGAACAGUGUUAUUAUAUAUUUGGCGAUUUGUGUUCAGCUAUAAAUAAUUUGAAACUUGACUGUGACACAGUUGGUCCAUUGCCACCACCUAGUUCUUGGGAUAUGCCUUAUUCAGGAACAUAUGCUCCUCAUUCAACAACAGGCUACAGUCCAAUGCCAUUUAACUUUACCAGUGAGCCCACUGUUUAUGGAUAUCAUCGGGAUGAAAGUAUUCACAGUGGAUCAGGCGGCAGUAGUGCAGGUAGCGAACAUAUUUGCAAGGAACCAAUUCAUGAUCUCAAAUCCUGUUCAUCAGCAUCCGAAUCAGAACUUCAAAUGCCAUCUGUGCCAGUAAUGCCAAAACAGAAUUCAGGUAAUGGAAAUGGUUCUAAUGGGAAGAGAUCUAAUGGCAGUCGCAGUCGAUCCAGUGGUUCUGAGCAAUCAGUGCAAACAGGAACUGGAUCGGGGAUUCAGUCAAAUCAGCAAGACUUAUCCGGAUUAUCUACGACAAUGGGGCAGCUAUUUUUUUAAAGUCUUCAAGAUAUUUAUCAAAUAUCAAACGAACGAUUCGUCAACUUCAAUAGUAAGAAGAAUUUGUUGACACAACACCACGAUAUUUCUAUUAUAAGUACAUGAACAUAAACUUAAUCAUCUUCGCAAACUCAAUGAUGAAUCGUUCGAAACGUAAAUUUCCAACUCUGUUUAAUGAGAUGCUCCUCAGAAAGGGACAUGUAUAUAGUUAUAUAUUGUACUAAUACUGAAUGUGCCAUUUAAAGAUUUUUUAAGAUUAAAGUUACGAAAAGUAUUGUACACCGUCUUGGAAUCAUAAAAUUUGCAUUUUGAAUUCUUUUUCUAUUAUGAGCUGUUUGCAUGAAUUUGUGGUGGACUAUUGUAAAGGAAAACACAUUUAUUUUCUUGUUAAGUUAAAUAAGGUAAGUCAAAUAAUUUUUUGACGAAAUACGUACAAGUUGGAAAUGUAUGAGCAAAUAUAUUUUAAUGAUAUUCUUUACUGUUUA